rnacentral:lncRNA from 1 species
ACUCAGAAUUCCAAAAAAAAGUAGGCAUGACAUGGGGGGAAAAUGUCGUGAUGGAACUUUCAAAGAAAGUAGAAUUUAAAAAAUAUUAGGCAGAAUCUUUAAGUGAAAGAAAAAUAACUCUAAGAAGCAACAGAAAAUAAGUUAAUACUGCUAUUGUGCUCAUGUGGGAUGUAUGCUUCUAGUAAGAACAUAUACAAAGGGAAAACAGUAAGUUUGACCAAGGAGGAAACAAGAAGGAUAUACAAGAUGUUAUUGAAUAAUAUGAUGAAUGUUUAAUUCACAUUGUUUAAGACAUUGUAGUAGUUCUGGAAAUCCUCUUCCAUGUCUCUAGUUGUGCUGUCAUGGCUGCCUCAAUGUAUGGAUCAAUUCAAAAUGUUUACCUUUUAUAGUCAUUUUGACUUUGGGGAAGAAUCAGGAGUUACACAGAUCUAGAUAUAGUGAAUAAGAGGAAUAAAGACACAUUGUAAUGCUUUUACAGGCCUGCUUUUCCAUUGGAUGGCACCUGGCAGUAGCAUUCACUGAAUUCUUGAUCAUACCCUGUAAAGGAACUCAUGAAAUAAGACCUCCAGAACUGCUUCAGAAAGUGAUACUCCACAAACGGAUACUUUUACACUAAGAUGAAGAGCCCAAGGCAGCAAAGCUUCUAUCCCAGAGAGAAACACAACUUACCUAAUGGUUAACUAAUUAAGCUUCUUCCCUGUUUAAUAUCUUCCAUGUGGGAGCUAACUAAUGAAUAUCAACUUGGUAAGAUUUGGAAAAGGAAGGGAUUUCAUAGUAAACUUGGCAAACAAAGACAGGACAUACUGCUUUCAAGCAAAGGCAUGGUG